AACUUAAGCAUAUCAAUAAGCGGAGGAAAAGAAACCAACAGGGAUUGCCCUAGUAACGGCGAGUGAAGCGGCAACAGCUCAAAUUUGAAAUCUGGCUUCGGCCCGAGUUGUAAUUUGCAGAGGAUGCUUCUGGCGCGGUGCCUUCCGAGUUCCCUGGAACGGGACGCCACAGAGGGUGAGAGCCCCGUAUGGUCGGACACCAAGCCUGUGUGAAGCUCCUUCGACGAGUCGAGUAGUUUGGGAAUGCUGCUCUAAAUGGGAGGUAAAUCUCUUCUAAAGCUAAAUACCGGCCAGAGACCGAUAGCGCACAAGUAGAGUGAUCGAAAGAUGAAAAGCACCUUGAAAAGGGGGUUAAAUAGUACGUGAAAUUGUUGAAAGGGAAGCACUUAUGACCAGACUUGGGCCGGGCGGCUCAUCAGGGGUUCUCCCCUGUGCACUCCGCCCGGCACAGGCCAGCAUCGGUUUUCGCGGGGGGAUAAGACCGACGGGAACGUAGCACCCUCCGGGGUGUGUUAUAGCCCGGCGGACGAUACCCUCGCGGGGACCGAGGUCCGCGCUCUGCAAGGAUGCUGGCGUAAUGGUCAUCAGUGACCCGUCUUGAAACACGGACCAAGGAGUCGUCCAUUAGAGCGAGCGUUUGGGUGUAAAACCCGCACGCGUAAUGAAAGUGAACGCAGGUGAGAGCUUCGGCGCAUCAUCGACCGAUCCUGAUGUUCUCGGAAGGAUUUGAGUAAGAGUUUUAACGGACGGACCCGAAAGACAGUGAACUAUGCUUGUAUAGGGUGAAGCCAGAGGAAACUCUGGUGGAGGCUCGCAGCGGUUCUGACGUGCAAAUCGAUCGUCAAAUAUGAGCAUGGGGGCGAAAGACUAAUCGAA
rnacentral:rRNA from 1 species